rnacentral:rRNA from 1 species
GUAAUACAUCGGAACGUGCCCAGUAGUGGGGGAUAGCCCGGCGAAAGCCGGAUUAAUACCGCAUACGACCUGAGGGUGAAAGCGGGGGAUCGCAAGACCUCGCGCUAUUGGAGCGGCCGAUGUCAGAUUAGGUAGUUGGUGGGGUAAAGGCCUACCAAGCCGACGAUCUGUAGCUGGUCUGAGAGGACGACCAGCCACACUGGGACUGAGACACGGCCCAGACUCCUACGGGAGGCAGCAGUGGGGAAUUUUGGACAAUGGGCGCAAGCCUGAUCCAGCCAUGCCGCGUGUGGGAAGAAGGCCUUCGGGUUGUAAACCACUUUUGUCAGGGAAGAAACGGCUUUGGUUAAUACCUGAGGCUAAUGACGGUACCUGAAGAAUAAGCACCGGCUAACUACGUGCCAGCAGCCGCGGUAAUACGUAGGGUGCGAGCGUUAAUCGGAAUUACUGGGCGUAAAGCGUGCGCAGGCGGCUAUGCAAGACAGAUGUGAAAUCCCCGGGCUUAACCUGGGAACUGCAUUUGUGACUGCAUGGCUAGAGUACGGCAGAGGGGGAUGGAAUUCCGCGUGUAGCAGUGAAAUGCGUAGAUAUGCGGAGGAACACCGAUGGCGAAAGCAAUCCCCUGGGCCUGUACUGACGCUCAUGCA